rnacentral:rRNA from 1 species
AUUGAACGCUGGCGGCAGGCCUAACACAUGCAAGUCGAACGAGUGGCGGACGGGUGAGUAAUGUCUGGGAAACUGCCUGAUGGAGGGGGAUAACUACUGGAAACGGUAGAUAAUACCGCAUACCAUCGGAUGUGCCCAGAUGGGAUUAGGUAGUAGGGGGGGUAAAGGCUCACCUAUGCGCCGCUCCCUAGCUGGUCUGCGAGGAUGACCGGCCAACCUGGAACUGAGACACGGUCCAGACUCCUACGGGAGGCAGCAGUGGGGAAUAUUGCACAAUGGUCGCAAGCCUGAUGCAGCCAUGCCGCGUGUAUGAAGAAGGCCUUCGGGUGGUAAAGUACUUUCAGCGGGGAGGCGUUACCCGCAUAAGAAGCACCGGCUAACUCCGUGCCAGCAGCCGCGGUAAUAC